UGCACGACCCCUAAUUGGAGGGGCAUAAUCCAAGCAUGGCCUUAUAUAUAAAAGUAUACCAGUGGAUCAACCUCCUGGUGGACAAAGAAGGCCAUCGCACUCGAGAAUACAGUUCACAAUGAUGAGUCAGGGUCCUACAGUUCGU